ACGGAGGGUGCAAGCGUUAAUCGGAAUUACUGGGCGUAAAGGGUUCGUAGGCGGCUUAGUAAGUCGGAUGUGAAAGCCCCGGGCUUAACCUGGGAACUGCAUACGAUACUGCUAAGCUAGAGUAUAGAAGAGGGAAAUGGAAUUCCAGGUGUAGCGGUGAAAUGCGUAGAUAUCUGGAGGAACACCAAUGGCGAAGGCAAUUUCCUGGUCUAAUACUGACGCUGAUGAACGAAAGCGUGGGUAGCAAACAGG
rnacentral:rRNA from 1 species